GGGCGAUUAGCUCAGGGGGAGAGCGCUGCCUUCACACGGCAGAGGCCGCUGGUUCGAAACCAGCAUCGCCCACCA
rnacentral:tRNA from 2 species